rnacentral:rRNA from 1 species
UACGUAGGGGGCAAGCGUUGUUCGGAAUUAUUGGGCGUAAAGGGCGCGUAGGCGGUUGGUUAAGUCAGCUGUGAAAUCCCGAGGCUCAACCUCGGAACUGCGUCUGAAACUACUCGACUAGAGUACUGGAGAGGGUAACGGAAUUCACGGUGUAGCAGUGAAAUGCGUAGAUAUCGUGAGGAACACCAGAGGCGAAGGCGGUUACCUGGACAGUUACUGACGCUCAGGCACGAAAGCAUGGGGAGCAAACAGG